GAGGUGGAGGAGCUUCAGGACGACUGGAGUCCCAGGAACGCUCGAGAAGACCAGGAUGAUGAUGUCCCAGCAGAGGCUAGACAGAACCGGGUUUAUCUAUGCAGGAAACGUGAGCCGGUCCAAACAGAGAGGAACUGGAUGACAGAGGUGGAUAUUUACAGAAAUCGUGGUGGAGGAAGGGAAGAAAAGCCAUUGAGAUGAUUGUCCUGUAGAUGACCCAGUUUGGACCUCAGCUGGUGGACAGAUGGGUCCAGUCGGUUACUGCGGGUCCGCCCAGGUCCUUAGGCACCAAAACAAGCCCAGAUCUUCAGCCCUCCACCACCGUGCUGCGCUGUUCAUAUUAAAAAUGGACUGAGAAUCUGGCUGGCGACCAGAAUCAGACGAUUUCCAACCCUAUCGGCCCAGAAAGGCGACCAUGUGGCACAACGCUGUCCGGUGUGGACUCCGUCACUGAGGAGAGAAAAACUUUCAUUGUUUUCUCUGUCAGCUAAGAUGAACUCAGAUGAAGCAGAGAUCUGAGAUCUAAGAUUUUAAAUGAAUCUGUUUUCUACAACAUGUCGAGCUGAGCCACUGAUUCCUUCGGGCUGCAAGACAGCGAGAGAGAGCGACACUUUUAGCAGAUAACGGGAAGUUUAAAUGAAAUCCAUCAAAGUUAAUGUUUGAUCCUGCUGCUUUCUCCCUGUGCAUGCAACAUGCUGCGCUCCCUUUGGACAUCUCAGAGUUAAAGUACAGAUCUGCAUCUUCAUGAAGAAACGGCGCUUCACAAAGCUGCUCUAGCUACUCUCUAGGAUGCUAUAUACAUUUUAAAAUAUAACAGCUGACUGUAAUUAUUUUAUUUUAACAUAAUAGUACCACUAAUAUAGCAUCAAUCUCUUUGACCGUCACCUUUGCUCCUGAAAUCAAUCUUUAAUGAUCACUUCCUGCAGGAAUGCUAAAAAAUAUAUAUGUUGAAUCAUAUCUUUUUAUG